rnacentral:rRNA from 1 species
AGGAUGUUGGCUCAGAAGCAGCCACCAUUUAAAGAGUGCGUAAUAGCUCACUAGUCGAGUGAUUCUGCGCCGAAAAUGUACCGGGGCUAAGCAUAUUACCGAAACUGUGGAUGUGCACUACGUGCACGUGAUAGGAGAGCGUUCUAAGGGCGGUGAAGCUAGACCGUGAGGACUGGUGGAGCGCUUAGAAGUGAGAAUGCCGGUAUGAGUAGCGAAAGACAGGUGAGAAUCCUGUCCACCGAAUGACUAAGGUUUCCUGGGGAAGGCUCGUCCUCCCAGGGUAAGUCGGGACCUAAGCCGAGGCCGAGAGGCGUAGGCGAUGGAUAACAGGUUGAGAUUCCUGUACCAGUUAACUGCGUUUGACGAUGGAGGGACGCAGGAGGCUAAGCAAACCUCACGAUUGGAAGAGUGGGGCCAAGCAGUAAGUCAGGAUGUGAGUCAAAUGCUUACAUCCGGGUUGACAAGCUGUGAUGGGGAGCGAAAUUACAGUAGCGAAGUUGCCGAUGUCACACUGCCGAGAAAAGCUUCUAAGGAGCACGUUAACUGCCCGUACCGCAAACCGACACAGGUAGUCGAGGAGAGAAUCCUAAGGUGAGCGAGUGAACUCUC